GCCGUCCUUUGUAAAUUUGAAAAUUAUCGUCAAUUUUGGCAUCGAUGGUGAAUUCGAUGAUAAUUGCCUCCUUCGAAAGACUUUUGUUAAAAAAAAUGUUGAAAUUGGCAUAGAUGGUUGUAACGGGCCUAUUUUUCCCGGGGCUAAACCAAUAACCCAAAAACAAAAAUAAAACCAAAUAAGUUAAGAGUCUGAGUCCAAUUACAAAAAGAGCCCGAAUGUAAAACAUACUAGACCCAAAUUUACAAUCCAAAUAUAAAACCCAAAAUUUUAUAGGCCCAAAGCUAAAACAACCUAGCCCAAGAAUAGCCCAAAACCUAAAAUCAUUCAGCCAAAAAAAACCUAGGCGCCGUUCCCCCCUUUGCGUGCCUCAAGUGCAUCGUACCCCUCCAUGUGCGCCCUCGGCGCACACAUCGCCAGAUGGCUGCUCCUUUGCACCAAAAUGGCAUGUUUUCACGCUCGUUGACCCUCUUAGCCCUGCAAAACAAUCCAAAAACGAGCAAGAACACAGCAAAAGGAAACACGCAAAGACAAACAGUAGAGAACAGAGGCUUAAACAAAAAUAAAAAAAGUAGAUUGUAUUUUGGCUAUAAAGCCAAGAACGAACAUAUUGUAUUCUUUUUACAGACCAUUAAGCAAUCAAAACACAAAAUGUUGAAUCUCAUCUUUUCUUCCCUAUUUUUCUGUUUUCAUUUUUAUUUUUGUUCUUUUGUUUUCAAAUUGGUUUAAACAAAACCAAAAAGAAUAGAGAAAAAUAGACUUACCCCAACUCCGAAGUCGCAUCAUCAGAGCUCCUGCUCUAUCGGUGAAACCGACUAAAAAGGGUGUCUUUUCUCUCGGAUUCACGGGCUAAGGGAAUAGGGCCUUCGGGUGCUCCAAAAUCGGAGUCAAAAGACCCCUUUUGUGCAACCCCGAUCACCACCUACAGUGGCUUCAUGGCAGCGGCGAUGAUGGGUGCAUAAACCCUAGCAGAGCACAAACAGGGGGCUGCUCUUUGUUUCUGAGAAGAGAAAGAAAAAAUGAAAAGUUUUUUUAAAAAAAUUUGGCUUUAACAGGCAUGCAAAGCGGUGACAUUUGCAAUCCCCCCACACGCCUCAAAACGGCG
rnacentral:lncRNA from 1 species